rnacentral:misc_RNA from 1 species
AAAAAAAGCGGCUAUUUAAAGGCUGCUCGCUUUGGACAUCUUACAUUUUUCUCGCUUUCUUUCUUCCACUUCAGUCUCCUUUCUCCUCUCCUCUUCUUUUGCUUCAACUUCAACGCCAUUUCUUUCUCUCUCUCUCUUUCUCUAACACUUGAACAUCAACAACUACUCUCUUAAUCUCUCUCUCUCUCUCUCUACAAAUCUAUCCAUUUCUGUCUAGAUAUAAUGUUCCUCUGUUAGCAGCCCUAGCCCUGCUUCAUCUAUGCUAGGGCUGCAGGAGAAGAAGAAAAUUAAACAAAAACCCAUUAAUCAAUCAAACCCUAGACUCAUUUACUUUUAAAGGAUUAAACAGAUAAAUAUAUACCAAUGGUCUUCAAGAACAAACUCUUCUUCUCUUCUAAGAAAUCCGAUACUUCUAGUCCAGAUGGAUCCAACAGCCCUCGAUCUAUCGGCUCCAAUUCACCGAUCCGAUCUGACAAGAAAAAGCCCAAAUCUUCAUCUAAGGAUGAAAGUCCCACUGCCCAUAAUACUGGUUUUGCUGCUGCAGCUUGUAGACAAACCCAAGUCAAGGAUGGAGUCAAGAAGAAGGACUCAUUCAAGGGUAAGGAAAGUGCUGCUCAAUCGCCUGGGAGAUUGGGUUUGUCUAGUUCUGGGUCUAAGAAGCCUGCAUCUGCGACGGCGGCUGAUGGGAAGAACGCCGCCGCUUCAGUGUCUCCCAUAUUGGCCUCUUCUUUAGGGUUGAACAAGAUAAAGACGAGAUCGGGGCCGUUGCCGCAGGAGAGCUUUUUCAGUUUUAGAGGGGAUAAGGGAUCUGGGGUGCUGGGGUCCAGUAACUUAUCCAAGCCUGGUGUUGGCGGUGGUGUUAGUGGAGGGUCGAGUUCAAGUUCCGGGUCGGGGAAGAAGAAGGAGAUAGUGGGACAGAGUAGGAUGAUGGGAUUUCAGGGGAGUGGUGUCGGUGAUUAUGGCCACAAUUGGGAUAGCACAAUGUCUCCUGGAAGUGGGCAGUCUAGAGAGGUAAGUUCGAACUUGCAGGCAAUGUCGCGAUUGCAGAAUGGGGAAUCAUCGGCAGAGGCAGGUCGAUGUGAGUCAUCACGGGGUCGCUCUGGAGGCUUAAGAAGUUCGGAUGUUCUUACACCGGAGAAUUAUGACUGUGAAAACCCAAAGGAGUCUGAAUCUCCCCGUUUUCAAGCUAUACUCCGAGUGACAAGUGCGCCUAGAAAGAAGUUUCCUGCUGAUAUUAAAAGUUUCUCCCAUGAAUUAAAUUCAAAAGGUUUUCGGCCUUUUCCAUUUUGGAAGCCUCGAGGGCUAAAUAACUUGGAGGAAAUCUUGGUUGUGAUACGGGCAAAAUUUGACAAAGCAAAGGAAGAAGUGAAUUCUGAUUUAGCUAUCUUUGCAGCGGAUCUGGUUGGAGUCCUUGAAAAAAAUGCAGAAAGUCAUCCUGAAUGGCAGGAAACCAUUGAGGACUUGUUGGUUUUAGCUCGUAGUUGUGCUAUGACAUCACCCAGUGAGUUCUGGCUUCAGUGCGAAGGCAUAGUCCAAGAAUUGGAUGAUAGGCGCCAAGAACUUGCUCCAGGAAUGCUGAAGCAGCUUCAUACCCGAAUGCUUUUCAUUCUUACAAGGUGUACUAGGUUGUUGCAAUUUCACAAAGAAAGUGGGCUGGCUGAGGAUGAAAAUGUUUUUCAGCUUCGCCAAUCCAGACUUCUGCAUUCUGAUGAUAAACGUAUUCCUCUGGUCAUUGGAAGGGAAGGGAAAAGUUCUAGUGUUGCUAAGUCAUCCAAGACAGGAUCAGAGAGGAAAUCUUAUAGUCAAGAGCAGCAUGGCUUGGAUUGGAACAGAGACCAGGUUCAAGUGCCAGGGAGUUCACUUCCUACUGCUGAUGACACUUCGAAGAGCAUGGAUUCUCCUGGGGGCCGGGAUCGGAUGGCUUCUUGGAAGAAACUACCAUCUCCUUCAGCAAAAAGCAUGAAGGAAGUUGCUUCGCCAAAGGAACUUAAUGAUAGGAAGGCUGAACCUUUGAAAAUGUCGAACAAUAGGAAAGCAGUUUCUGAUGCAGAUCUAAUUGCUGCUAAGCUUUCAGAGCUUCCUAUAGCCAAAGAUUCACAUGCAAAUUCUACAAAGCACCAACACAAAGUUUCUUGGGGUUAUUGGGGUGAUCAGCAGAAUGUUUCUGAUGAUAGUUCAAUAAUUUGUCGCAUUUGUGAGGAGGAGGUUCCAACUUCAAACGUUGAAGACCAUUCAAGAAUUUGUGCAAUUGCUGAUCGCUGUGACCAGAAGGGUCUAAGCGUGAAUGAACGUCUUGUUGGAAUUUCUGACACUCUUGAGAAGAUGAUGGAGUCCUUUACGCAGAAGGAUAUCCAACAUGCAGUAGGAAGCCCAGAUGUUGCCAAAGUAUCAAAUUCUAGUGUGACUGAAGAGUCUGAUGUUCUCUCUCCAAAACUCAGUGAUUGGUCCAGGAGAGGUUCAGAGGACAUGCUUGACUGUUUUCCUGAAGCUGAUAAUUGUAUUUUUAUGGAUGACCUGAAGGGUUUGCCUUCAAUGUCGUGUAAAACCCGCUUUGGUCCAAAAUCGGAUCAAGGGAUGGCCACAUCAUCAGCAGGUAGCAUGACUCCAAGGUCUCCAUUAUUGACACCAAGGACCAGUCCGAUAGACUUGCUUCUGGCAGGAAAGGGUGCUUUUUCUGAGAAUGAUGACAUUCCACAGAUGAAUGAACUUGCAGAUAUUGCUAGAUGUGUAGCAAAUACACCUUUGGAUGAUGACAGUUCGAUGUCUUACUUGCUUAAUUGUCUUGAAGACUUGAGGGUUGUCAUUGACCGCAGAAAGUUCGAUGCACUUACUGUUGAGACUUUUGGAGCACGCAUUGAAAAGCUUAUCAGGGAGAAGUAUUUGCAGCUUUGUGAACUUGUAGAAGAGGAAAGGGUUGAUAUAACGAGUACUGUAAUCGAUGAAGAUACUCCCUUGGAAGAUGAUGUGGUUCGGAGCUUGAGAACAAGCCCUAUACAUUCCAGGGACCGCACCUCGAUAGAUGAUUUUGAGAUAAUAAAACCAAUCAGUCGCGGGGCAUUUGGACGGGUUUUCUUGGCUAAAAAGAGAACAACAGGAGAUCUAUUUGCCAUAAAGGUUCUUAAAAAGGCAGACAUGAUCCGGAAGAAUGCUGUUGAAAGUAUACUUGCAGAACGGGAUAUUUUAAUUUCAGUUCGCAAUCCUUUUGUGGUUCGAUUCUUUUAUUCAUUUACUUGUCGUGAGAAUUUGUAUCUUGUGAUGGAGUAUUUGAAUGGAGGAGAUCUAUAUUCUUUAUUGAGAAAUUUGGGCUGCUUAGAUGAAAAUGUUGCUCGCAUAUACAUUGCAGAAGUGGUGCUCGCGUUGGAAUAUCUACAUUCCCUCCGUGUGGUUCACCGUGAUUUGAAGCCAGAUAAUCUGUUGAUUGCACAUGAUGGUCAUAUCAAGUUGACGGACUUUGGUCUUUCCAAGGUUGGUCUCAUCAACAGCACUGAUGAUCUAUCUGGUCCAGCAGUUAGUGGGACCUCUAUGCUUGGGGAUGAUGAACCACAACUAUCCACUUCUGAGCAUCAGCAGGAAAGACGGAAGAAUCGUUCUGCUGUGGGUACACCAGACUAUUUGGCGCCUGAGAUACUUUUGGGAACAGGACAUGGUUCGUAUAGCCUUUUCUUAGUUUAAGGUGCUGUGCUUGUCUUUAUCUUACUUUUUUGGAAGUCUGACAUCAGAUAGUUGUAUGAACUUUGGUCAUAAAAAAGAAUUUUGCUGCAUGGAGGCUUGAUCAAGUGGGAAAACUAAUUAUUGGUAAAAUAGGUUUACUUCUAGUCUUGGUUGGAUUAAGAUGUUUAGAUAUCAAGUUGUUUCAAUUUCAAAUCAAUGGUAACAACUACUGAUGCCCAAAGCUUUCCUUCCCUCGCUAUCCCCUUAAGACCCCAUUGGUUUAUCACAUUCAAUUACUGGAAAAUUGACUUCACUAUAUAAUUUUCUCAGGCACAACUGCAGAUUGGUGGUCGGUGGGUGUCAUUCUAUUUGAGCUGAUUGUUGGUAUUCCGCCAUUUAAUGCAGAGCAUCCACAGACAAUAUUUGAUAAUAUUCUCAACCGUAAGAUACCUUGGCCACGGGUGCCUGAAGAAAUGAGCCCUGAAGCACUGGAUCUAAUUGAUAGGUAAGCAAGCUGUUUAUUUUACCUGGCAAUUUUAAAAUAUUGUGGCUCCUGAAAUUUGUGUUUGGUCUUAUUAGCUUUAUCAUUUACAUGUGGUAAUGACACUGGCACCAACUGAUUUUGUUGUUAAAUGCAAUCCCUCACAUAUUCCUUGGCAAUCAACUGAUGUCUGGAAUAUUUUGUUUUUUAUUGACAUAUUGCUAAUCCUAAUUGGCAUGAACGAUGAAAGUAGAUCCCUGAGAUGGGGUUCUUAGAUAAUAUUGAUAGCUGUUAAUCCUGGAGUUUCUAAUACCAUCAGUCCCCAGAUUAUUAACAGAAGAUCCUCAUCAGAGACUUGGAGCUGGAGGAGCUUCUGAGGUGAAGCAGCAUGUAUUCUUUAAGAAUAUUAACUGGGACACGCUUGCCAGACAGAAGGCUGCAUUUGUUCCCAGUUCGGAGAGUGCACUUGAUACAAGUUACUUCACAAGUCGCUAUUCAUGGAAUACUUCAGAUGACCAUGUUUAUCCAGCCAGUGAAUUUGAGUACUCCAGUGAUGCUGACAGUUUAAGUGGCAGCAGUAGUUGCCUAAGCAAUCGCCAAGAUGAAGUGGGAGAUGAAUGUGGGGGACUUGCAGAGUUCGAGUCUGGCUCGUCUGUCAAUUACUCAUUCAGUAAUUUUUCAUUCAAGAAUCUCUCCCAGCUUGCAUCAAUCAACUACGAUCUUCUCUCCAAGGGCUGGAAGGACGAUCCAUCUACAAAUCCUAAUUCAUGACCUCUGUGAAGAGCCGUAAUUGUGUUUUUUGAUUUCAGAUCAAUUUGGGCAUUUGUAGGGUGCCCGAUUGCCAGUGUUGUUUGUAUACCCUGUACAUAAAUAGAAGACAAGUUGAAAGACUGCAACUGCUUUGGGAUGUGCUCUUUACACAUUAUAGGUAAUGGAUCCACACUGGGGUUCCAAUUUUAUUGUCAGAGUUGUUUUGUUUGAGCUGAGGAUGUUAGUGUACGAGAAGUUAAUGCCACAGUGGUGGUUUACAGUCUUAACCUAUGGUGUAUUGUUUUUGAUUUUUUGGUUCACAUCAAUGAGAACACAUCCCUAUGUUUUCAGUUCAGUGUGAAAUGUUUAGUCAAAUUUGUGAGCUUAUUUGCUUUUCCAUCAUGGAAGUUGAAUUAAAAAAUUAUUACUGGGACUAAAUGCUACUGGCUUACAAUUGGUCCAAGUUCAUAUCAUUCCUUGAAUACAACACAAGUAGCUUGGAUUUGUGAUUUUUCUUUGGUUGAUUUGGCUUCGAUUGAGGUUCAAACUCAAGAUUUCACAGCUUAUAUUUAGGAUUAUACUAUCAGCUUUAACCCCACGUAUGUAGGGUGCUAGGAGCCAUUGAAUGUGAAAAUUUAGAUAGUUGAUGAAGUGUUUUGUUUAGGAACAAAAAUGAUGUAAAAAGUUGUUCACUUUGCUAAGCAAAAAAAUUUGAAUUUUCUUUAUAUCGCACAAAAUGUGUA